AGAGUUUGAUCAUGGCUCAGGACGAACGCUGGCGGCGUGCUUAACACAUGCAAGUCGAGCGGAAAGGCCCUUUCGGGGUACUCGAGCGGCGAACGGGUGAGUAACACGUGAGUAACCUGCCCUGGACUUUGGGAUAACCCUCGGAAACGGGGGCUAAUACCGAAUACGACCAUUCACUGCAUGGUGUGAUGGUGGAAAGUUUUUUCGGUCUGGGAUGGACUCGCGGCCUAUCAGCUUGUUGGUGGGGUAAUGGCCUACCAAGGCGACGACGGGUAGCCGGCCUGAGAGGGCGACCGGCCACACUGGGACUGAGACACGGCCCAGACUCCUACGGGAGGCAGCAGUGGGGAAUAUUGCACAAUGGGCGGAAGCCUGAUGCAGCAACGCCGCGUGAGGGAUGACGGCCUUCGGGUUGUAAACCUCUUUCAGCAGGGACGAAGCGCAAGUGACGGUACCUGCAGAAGAAGCGCCGGCCAACUACGUGCCAGCAGCCGCGGUAAGACGUAGGGCGCGAGCGUUGUCCGGAUUUAUUGGGCGUAAAGAGCUCGUAGGCGGCUUGUCGCGUCGAAUGUGAAAACCCGAGGCUCAACUUCGGGCUUGCAUUCGAUACGGGCAGGCUAGAGUUCGGUAGGGGAGACUGGAAUUCCUGGUGUAGCGGUGAAAUGCGCAGAUAUCAGGAGGAACACCGGUGGCGAAGGCGGGUCUCUGGGCCGAUACUGACGCUGAGGAGCGAAAGCGUGGGGAGCGAACAGGAUUAGAUACCCUGGUAGUCCACGCUGUAAACGUUGGGCGCUAGGUGUGGGGAGCCUCUCCGGUUCUCUGCGCCGCAGCUAACGCAUUAAGCGCCCCGCCUGGGGAGUACGGUCGCAAGGCUAAAACUCAAAGGAAUUGACGG
rnacentral:rRNA from 1 species